CCUACGGGAGGCUGCAGUGAGGAAUAUUGGUCAAUGGACGCAAGUCUGAACCAACCAUGCCGCGUGCAGGAAGACGGCUCUAUGAGUUGUAAACUGCUUUUGUACGAGGGUAAACGCGGAUACGCGUAUCUGUCUGAAAGUAUCGUACGAAUAAGGAUCGGCUAACUCCGUGCCAGCAGCCGCGGUAAUACGGAGGAUUCAAGCGUUAUCCGGAUUUAUUGGGUUUAAAGGGUGCGUAGGCGGUCGGAUAAGUUAGAGGUGAAAUCCCGAGGCUCAACUGCGGAAUUGCCUCUGAUACUGUUCGGAUAGAGAGUAGUAGCGGUAGGCGGAAUGUAUGGUGUAGCGGUGAAAUGCUUAGAGAUCGUACAGAACACCGAUUGCGAAGGCAGCUUACCAAGCUACUUCUGACGUUGAGGCACGAAAGCGUGGGGAGCAAACAGGAUUAGAUACCCCAGUAGUC
rnacentral:rRNA from 1 species